rnacentral:tRNA from 1 species
GAGGAUAUAGCUCAAGUGGUAGAGCACAUGCUUAGCAUACAUGAGGUCCUGGGUUCAAUCUCCAGUACCUCCU